GUGCCAGCAGCCGCGGUAAUACGGAGGGUGCAAGCGUUAUCCGGAUUCACUGGGUUUAAAGGGUGCGUAGGCGGCGAAUUAAGUCAGCGGUAAAAUUUCUGGGCUCAACCCAGUCGUGCCGUUGAAACUGGUUUGCUUGAGUACGGAUGAAGUAGGCGGAAUUUGUAGUGUAGCGGUGAAAUGCAUAGAUAUUACAAGGAACUCCAAUUGCGCAGGCAGCUUACUAAACCGUAACUGACGCUGAUGCACGAAAGUGUGGGUAUCAAACAGGAUUAGAUACCCUGGUAGUCCACACAGUAAACGAUGAUUACUCGCUGUUUGCGAUAUACAGUAAGCGGCUUAGCGAAAGCGUUAAGUAAUCCACCUGGGGAGUACGCCGGCAACGGUGAA
rnacentral:rRNA from 1 species